UAAACCCUACGGGGGCAGCAGUGGGGGAUAUUGCACAAUGGGGGAAACCCUGAUGCAGCGACGCCGCGUGAGCGAUGAAGUAUUUCGGUAUGUAAAGCUCUAUCAGCAGGGAAGAAAAUGACGGUACCUGACUAAGAAGCCCCGGCUAACUACGUGCCAGCAGCCGCGGUAAUACGUAGGGGGCAAGCGUUAUCCGGAUUUACUGGGUGUAAAGGGAGCGUAGACGGCAGUGCAAGGCUGAAGUGAAAGGCAAGGGCUCAACCCUUGGACUGCGUUGGAAGCUGUGCUGCUCGAGUGUCGGAUAG
rnacentral:rRNA from 1 species